CCGCACUCGAUACUGACCAAGAUAUCUAUGCUCUAGUUCUUUUCUAGUGCGUAACUCAUGAUAUCUGGGUCCAAAGAGUGCUAAAUUAAUGUUUAUAAGCAUUUAAGCUCAGUGUGUGCAGUGACACUCUGGGUUAUAACUUAUUGCACAUAU